rnacentral:rRNA from 1 species
UACGGAAGGUGCAAGCGUUGCUCGGAAUCACUGGGCGUAAAGCGCACGUAGGCGGAUUGUUAAGUCAGGGGUGAAAUCCUGGAGCUCAACUCCAGAACUGCCUUUGAUACUGGCGAUCUUGAGUCCGGGAGAGGUGAGUGGAACUGCGAGUGUAGAGGUGAAAUUCGUAGAUAUUCGCAAGAACACCAGUGGCGAAGGCGGCUCACUGGCCCGGUACUGACGCUGAGGUGCGAAAGCGUGGGGAGCAAACAGG